rnacentral:tRNA from 1 species
CGCGGUGUAGCUCAGUGGCUAGAGCGGCAUCCCGAUGUGGGGGCGUCACAUUGACGAUACGGCAGGCGUGGAACCGGCGACCAGUCACCAAAGGGGAAGCACCUGCUGGCAGUGGUUCAAAUCCACUCACCGCGACCA